rnacentral:rRNA from 1 species
GACGAACGCUGGCGGCGUGCUUAACACAUGCAAGUCGAACGGAAAGGCCCUGCUUUUGUGGGGUGCUCGAGUGGCGAACGGGUGAGUAACACGUGAGUAACCUGCCCUUGACUUUGGGAUAACUUCAGGAAACUGGGGCUAAUACCGGAUAGGAGCUCCUGCUGCAUGGUGGGGGUUGGAAAGUUUCGGCGGUUGGGGAUGGACUCGCGGCUUAUCAGCUUGUUGGUGGGGUAGUGGCUUACCAAGGCUUUGACGGGUAGCCGGCCUGAGAGGGUGACCGGCCACAUUGGGCCUGAGAUACGGCCCAGACUGCUACGGGAGGCAGCAGUGGGGAAUAUUGCACAAUGGGCGGAAGCCUGAUGCAGCAACGCCGCGUGCGGGAUGACGGCCUUCGGGUUGUAAACCGCUUUCGCCUGUGACGAAGAGUGAGUGACGGUAAUGGGUAAAGAAGCACCGGCUAACUACGUG